rnacentral:tRNA from 1 species
GGUGGUGGCUCAGUGGUAGAGCACUUGCCUCACCUGUGUGAGGCCCUGAGUUAGAUCCUCAGCACCACCU